CCUACGGGGGGCUGCAGUGGGGAAUAUUGGGCAAUGGGCGAAAGCCUGACCCAGCAACGCCGCGUGAGGGAAGAAGGUUUUCGGAUUGUAAACCUCUGUCCUUGGGGACGAAGAAAGUGACGGUACCCAAGGAGGAAGCCCCGGCUAACUACGUGCCAGCAGCCGCGGUAAUACGUAGGGGGCAAGCGUUGUCCGGAAUUACUGGGCGUAAAGGGUGCGUAGGCGGUUUUUUAAGUCAGAUGUGAAAUCCCCGGGCUUAACUCGGGUGUUGCAUUUGAAACUGGGAGACUAGAGUGCAGGAGAGGGAAGCGGAAUUCCUAGUGUAGCGGUGAAAUGCGUAGAUAUUAGGAGGAACACCAGUGGCGAAGGCGGCUUUCUGGACUGUAACUGACGCUGAGGCACGAAAGCGUGGGGAGCAAACAGGAUUAGAUACCCCAGUAGUC
rnacentral:rRNA from 1 species